UGGGGGGACCCCGAAGCGAGCGCGGGAGCCUGGGCGGUGACCGGGGUGUGAGCUGUCCGAAAAUGCACUCGGAUGCCGCCGCUGUCAACUUUCAACUGAACUCUCAUCUCUCAACACUGGCAAAUAUUCAUAAGAUCUACCACACCCUUAAUAAGCUAAAUCUAACAGAAGACGUUGGCCAAGACGAUCACCAAACAGGGAGUCUGCGGUCUUGCAGUUCUUCAGACUGCUUUAGUAAAGUGAUGCCACCAAGGAAAAAGAGAAGACCUGCAUCUGGAGAUGAUUUAUCUGCCAAGAAAAGUAGGCAUGAUAGCAUGUAUAGAAAAUAUGAUGCAACUAGAAUAAAGACUGAAGAAGAAGCCUUUUCGAGUAAGCGAUGCUUAGAGUGGUUCUAUGAAUAUGCAGGUGCUGAUGACGUUGUAGGUCCUGAAGGCAUGGAGAAAUUUUGUGAAGACAUUGGUGUUGAACCAGAAAAUGUAGUUAUGCUUGUCCUAGCCUGGAAAUUGGAUGCACAAAACAUGGGUUAUUUUACUCUACAGGAAUGGUUAAAAGGAAUGACUUCUCUCCAAUGUGAUACAACAGAAAAACUAAGAAAUACCUUGGAUUACUUAAGAUCAUUAUUAAAUGAUUCUACAAACUUUAAACUUAUUUACAGAUAUGCGUUUGAUUUUGCACGGCGUGGUGUGCUGUUGCUGUCUGCCACACUUAUGAUACAGGGAAAAGGACCAGCGCAGCCUAGACAUAAACACUGCCAAGUGCAUGUUGGGACUGUUAUUAGGAAAAAUCUGGCCCCUUUUUCCAGUUUUUCACCAAUUCUUAGAGCAAUCAAAAUAUAAAGUUAUUAACAAAGACCAGUGGUGCAAUGUACUAGAGUUCAGCAGAACAAUUAAUCUUGACCUCAGCAACUACGAUGAAGAUGGAGCAUGGCCAGUUUUGUUGGACGAGUUCGUGGAAUGGUAUAAAGACAAACAGAUGUCAUAGGACUUUAUGCAUAGCAGCAAGAGAGUCACUGUUACCACAGUUACGUCAACCAUUUAGCCAUAAAUUGCUGUUUGUAUCAAAGUGCAUGCUGCUUUUCUUGCACUGUCUCCCGUUUGCAGGGACGUUUUGGUGUUUGCUAUUGAAUGGGCCAGCUCUGCUUGCUGUGUGGCAUUGUUCUCUUAGAAGGCUGCUUUGCAGUUUGUAUUUACACUACAGAUUGGUGAAUUUGCCAACGUCCUCACUGUGAUUAUGUGUAUAUUGCUGUUUAAAUUUUGUAUAUGUGUAUAAAAAGAAAAAGCUUCACCUAGAGAUUAUUUCUGCAAAAAUGAAUUGUAAAAAUAAUUUUGUGGCAUAUUUCUAGUCCCUUUUUUCAAAUGAACCUGUUAUAUUUUAUUUGGUCUCAAAUGUAGCAUUUCAGAAAGCAAGACAAAACAACUGUUACCAUGAGCAAACAUUGCCAGAAUUAACCUUAUUGUUUAAGAGGCCAAUUUUUGGAAGGAGGAAGGAGUUACAACUUCUCAGCAGCAUAUGCCAAAUGUCAUUUGGUUUUCUUAACAGAAGUAGCAUUUUAAAAUGAUGAAAGUUAUAAUUAUUUGAACAUAGAGACAUGUACCAUGCUACAGAUCAUUUCCACUGUGCAAGGUAUAGUUUUUUGUUUUGUAAUGUUAAAACUCUAGUAGUUUGGAUACAGGUACAGAUGAACAAAUUAAAGUUACACCUUUUUUUUUUUUUAAAUGGGGUUUAAAUUCUAAGCUUUCUUUAGAGGUUUUUGUUUUGUUUUUUUUCUUUCGCAUUCUUCUAGUCAGUAUUUGGUCUGUUGUCGCUUUCUAUGGCAUUCUAAGUAAAAUUUAUUUUGCCUCCUCCGUGAAAACCUAAUGGUUUGCUAGCAAUUUAUAACCGCAGAGCACUUUUAGUUGUGGAUUGAAUUUUUAGUUAAACUUUCCUGAUGCCUAAUUUUCUAGUUUUUUUUGGAAAAAGAAUUAUACCAUAAGUGAGAGGUUUUUGUUUUUCUUUUUUUCCCUUUGUUUGUUUCUCUUGGGCUAGACUUCUCCUGGCAGAAUGUCCAUUGCAGGCAGUGGACAUGAAACCACCAGCAUUGAGUUAAAUCUAAUACGUGAUAGGACCUUUCUGGGAGGGGCCGCUUGUCAUUACCUGAGUAAUUUGUGCAGAAAGGUUAUAGCCAUUAUUUAUAUGAAUGAAGAAAUAAGAGUAAGCAGGUCGAUAUAUUUAGGCUUAUAUUUUAUGUGUUUUUUUUUUUUUUUGCAUUACUCUUCUUUAGGAGACCUAUAGAUAACAUGUUUUUCCCCCAACUCUCUGGUGCUAUUGAAUGACUAAUUCAGUCCCUGAAGUUUUGAGAAAACACAAAAAUCUAAUGAUUUAAUCAAAUAAAAAGCUAAUGAUACAUUUCAACAGGUGAAUGCUGUAGUUGUAAAUGCUAUAAUUGUGAGCAAGAUCCAUGAUAGGACAUAUAAUGAUUGGAAGAGGUUUGGAUUAUUUGGAAAUCUGCCCAAGAGGUCCUUUAGAUUAAAUGUGAACCUUUAAAUGGCAUUCAGUAAGUAAAGCACAUAGACAAUGUACUCUUGACCAUUAUUUCACAGUUUCUUUGUGAACAGUAUUCAGGUUUUCAGCGUAUUUCUUUCCUAACUGAACCACCAAAGACAGAAAUUUUGUAUGUAGAUAGAGUGUGUGUGCAUAAGCAAAAUCAUGAUAUGGCAGAAUGCAACUACUUCCUUUCUCAAACCAAAUAGAAAGGUUUGGUUUGCUGUGAAAUAAACCAGAAGUUUCAAAUGCUCUGUAGUGACUAAGCAUACUUAAUCAUUCCUUGUUUAUAGACCCACCUUACAGAUUAAUACCAGUUUGUACAAAUUACUAUCUGAAAAGAAUAGAAAAUGCUUAUGGCAAGCAGCAGCUAUUGAGACCACUAUGUUGAAAGGGGCUCCAUGGAUGCGUAUGGAUUGGAGUGGUGAUUGGCCAGAGGCAAAUUUGGACAUGUGGAGAACUUAAUUCAUUUUUCAAACGUAUCCCAUAAAGUUAACAAAUCACACUUUUAAAAGCAACAGUUCUUAAAUUUGAUCAGCUGCAGUUUUGCUUAAGGCAAAUAUAAAUCAGAGAUGAAAUUAUUUAACAAGUGAAUUUUUUUAAACACUAAGCAUAGUUAAUCCUAAAAUAAAGAUUGUUGCAAGGGCAGAUGUUACAUUUCAUACACAAUCAGCAUUUUGAUGAUAGAGUAAAAAACUCAAGUAAAAACUAUUUCAUGAUGCAUCAGAUGAAAGUAAACAUUCCAAAGGGAUAAUUUUGCAUCCUUAGAAAACUAUAAAUAAUCUUUAAACUCCCUUAAAAAAUAAACCUCUGUGACUACUGGAUUGCAGAGUGUUUGCCUUUGGUUUCCUCGAUUUUGUGUAGUUACUUUUAAAGGGAGAAAAAAGGGAUCUGACAGAAUUGCAAGAUAAUUUUUCUUAAAAAUGUCUCUGAGUUACACAAAAUCGGUGAGCAAUCAUUGAGCAUUUAUUUACUGACUAAUGUUAAAUAAAUUAGGAUGCCUUUGUCUGGGUUUUCUUUAGUACCUAGCUAAGUCACCUCCCUUUUUCUCCCUUUCCCUUGUGUUUUGAACUCCACAUUGCAGUACUCUCUCUUAACAGAAUACAACUCUUAGAUGUUUACUGCUGCAGUAGGUCAGAAAUCUCAUUAUUUGAUUUGCCACAAGCACCCUCUGUAACGUUAUGUGCACCUUUUUUGAAGCAUGAGCUAUGAAUUAAGGUUUUAUAAAUCUAACUAGACUGACGUCUAGAUUCUGGUUCAAUAACAGAUUUCUGUUGCCUCUCAGUCUCCAUUUUAACAGUACUUUUGAAGUUUAUACCAAAAGCUUUAAAAAUUAGUUUGUUCCCUUGGUUUUAAUUCUUAAAACUGCUGAAAUACCUCUGUAAGCCUUAUCCUUUAUCCUUUCAUAUGUUGUAUAAUAAAUGUAUAGACUUCAUUGACCAACUGAAAUGUUGGGUGUCUGUAAAUGAGACCAAAACAUGGGUUGCUUUUUUUCAUAAAAUAAUUUCUAUUGGGGGUUACUGUUAAAUGAACAGCAACUAACCUGUAACUGUGAAUGCUUCGUGUCGUCAGUAUUUGCAUUACAUUCAUAAAAGUAUGCAAGUCCUGUGACUUCCAGCUUAACUAAAAUACUGUUAUGCCACCUAACUAGAGUACAGCAAACUGGUUUUAGGUUUCAAUUAAUGGAAUUGGUGUAAAAUGAUAUCCCACAAAUAAAAAGUAUGUGUGUUUGGUUUCAGAACUGAUUUGUGAAUUCUUCUCUUUUCUUCAAAAACCGUCCAGGGUAGUCCUUGUGAUAUCUUAUAUUUUUUAUCCUUUUUUAUUUUUCCCCACCUUGUUUAUUUAAAAAUUUCAAAGCUACACAGAAAAAAAUGCAAGAAUAACACUCAUAUACCUAUCGCCUAGAUUUUCUAGUUGUUAACAUUUUGCCAUAUUUACCUCCCCCACCACGUGUGUGUAUGUGCAUACUUCUUUGUAUAGAUUAACUUUUUCCUGAACCAUUUUGAGAGUAAAUUAUAACAGCAUAACAUUUCACACCUGAUGUUUCACAAUGGGGACAUUCUCCAAUAACCAUGAUAAAAUGAUCACACUAAAAUAAUUUAACAUUGAUACAAUACUGUUAUCUAGCAUACCAAAAAAACAAACCAGU